AUACUUCCGUGAUGUUAGCACUGGGCUCUGAGUACAUGUGUAGAUAAACGUGCAUUUCUGUUACUGACAUGGCAGAAUUCUGAGAAGUGU